rnacentral:rRNA from 1 species
AGCGAACGCUGGCGGCAGGCCUAACACAUGCAAGUCGAACGGAUCCUUCGGGAUUAGUGGCGGACGGGUGAGUAACCCGUGGGAACGUGCCCUUUGGUUCGGAACAACUCAGGGAAACUUGAGCUAAUACCGGAUGUGCCCUUCGGGGGAAAGAUUUAUCGCCCUUGGAGCGACCCGCGUCUGAUUAGCUAGUUGGUGCGGUAACGGCCCACCACGGCGACGAUCAGUAGCUGGUCUGAGAGGAUGAUCAGCCACACUUGGACUGAGACACGGCCCAGACUCCUACGGGAGGCAGCAGUGGGGAAUCGUGCGCAAUGGGCGAAAGCCUGACGCAGCCAUGCCGCGUGAAUGAUGAAGGUCUUAGGAUUGUAAAAUUCUUUCAGCGGGGACGAUAAUGACGGUACCCGCAGAAGAAGCUCCGGCUAACUUCGUG